rnacentral:tRNA from 1 species
GUUUAUAUAGUUUAAUAAAAACAUUUUGUUUUCAGUAAAAAAAUAGUUUCAAAUAACUUAUAAAUA